CCUACGGGAGGCAGCAGUGAGGAAUAUUGCGCAAUGGGCGAAAGCCUGACGCAGCGACGCCGCGUGAGGGAUGAAGGUCUUCGGAUCGUAAACCUCUGUCAGCAGGGAAGAACGGUCACUGUGCUAAUCAGCGGUGAAUUGACGGUACCUGCAAGGGAAGCACCGGCUAACUCCGUGCCAGCAGCCGCGGUAAUACGGAGGGGGCGAGCGUUAAUCGGAAUUACUGGGAGUAAAGCGCUCGUAGGCGGUAUGUCAAGUCAAGGGUGAAAUCCCCGCGCUCAACGUGGGAACUGCCUUUGAAACUGGCAAACUGGAGUGUGUGAGAGGAUAGUGGAAUGCCAGGUGUAGGAGUGAAAUCCGUAGAUAUCUGGAGGAACAUCAGUGGCGAAGGCGACUAUCUGGCACAUAACUGACGCUGAGGAGCGAAAGCGUGGGUAGCAAACAGGAUUAGAUACCCUAGUAGUC
rnacentral:rRNA from 1 species